rnacentral:rRNA from 1 species
GAUCAGGUAGGGAUACCCGCUGAACUUAAGCAUAUCAAUAAGUCGGAGG